GAUGAAUGCUGGCGGCGUGCUUAACACAUGCAAGUCGAACGAGAACGGAUUAUAGCUUGCUAUAAUUGUCAGCUAAGUGGCGCACGGGUGAGUAAUAUAUAGAUAACCUGCCCUCUAGAAAGGAAUAACAGUUGGAAACGACUGCUAAUGCCCUAUAUGCCUUUAAUACAUAAGUAUGCAAGGGAAACGCUUUAGUGCUAGAGGAUGGGUCUGUAUGGUAUCAGCUUGUUGGUGAGGUAAUGGCUCACCAAGGCUAUGACGCCUAACUGGUUUGAGAGGAUGAUCAGUCACACUGGAACUGAGACACGGUCCAGACUCCUACGGGAGGCAGCAGUGGGGAAUAUUGCACAAUGGACGAAAGUCUGAUGCAGCAACGCCGCGUGGAGGAUGACACAUUUCGGUGCGUAAACUCCUUUUAUAUAGGAAGAUAAUGACGGUACUAUAUGAAUAAGCACCGGCUAACUCCGUGCCAGCCGCCGCAGUAA
rnacentral:rRNA from 1 species